rnacentral:rRNA from 1 species
AGUGAACGCUGGCGGCAUGCCUAACACAUGCAAGUCGAACGGCAACACGUUUUCGGCUUCUUAUGACUGGCGGAGGGUGGCGUACUAGAGCGGAACGUACCCGAUCCUGGGGUUUAGCGAGGCUAAAGGUAUGGUAAUAUCCCAUAAUAUCGACUGAUGACAACGGGGGAUAUUCGGAGCUCUUCCGGCCUUACGCGCCUAUAUCAGCUGAUGUCGGAUUAGGUAGUUGGUGGGAUAAAGGCAUACCAAGUCGACGAUCCGUAGCUGGUCUGAGAGGAUGAUCAGCCACACUGGAACUGAGACACGGUCCAGACUCCUACGGGAGGCAGCAGUGGGGAAUUUUGGACAAUGGGCGCAAGCCUGAUCCAGCCAUGCCGCGUGGAUGAUGAAGGCCUUUGGGUUGUAAAGUGCUUUUGUAGGGAAAGAAAAGCAUCUUGCUAAUACAGAGCGGUUAUGACGGUACCGUAAGAAUAAGCACCGGCUAACUACGUG